GUAUGAGGGUUUCUUUUAAAUCAUCUGAGAUGGUUCAGUUGUGAUUUCUGAAAGAGAUCAAGCUCAUAAAGUUUAAUAUAUGAAAUAGCUUAUUGUAGCUCCUGGCAAUGUGGUUUUUCCAAAUGUUUUCUUAAAAUACGUUGUCCUUCAAUGCCAUAAAAUUUUCAUUUGUGCUGAUUAUUAAGCUAUUGUAUCUCUGCUCAAAACUCACCCUUCUAUACUUGUUUUGGUGGUCCCAGACUGGGUCUCUUGAAAUCACUGCUCUGGCUUUCUUGUUACGUACUUUUAAUAAUGCCCAGUAAAUUUCACUAGACUCUAAAGUUAAGUUCACUACUUCCUUUACACCCCUAAGCCCUUGGGCUUUAUUGGCUUCCAUCUGGAACCACAAUGUUCCAUUUUUGCCUUUGUCUUGCAGUAGCUAUUUAACCAACUCCUUGAACUCACUUCUCUUCAUUGAAAUAGUUUGCUUGAUUUCUUUUUUCUUCACUGAACCCUGAAAGAUAAAUCAUAACAUGGAGAGAAAAUAUAUUAUGAGUUCUGUGUGGCUGGAGUAUUGAAAAAUGAGCUAAUAAAGUAAAAGUGGUUUUAAAUAUAUAUCUUUGUUAAGAGUGUACAACUGAAAUUUAAGUACUGGUAACAUAUUUCCAGUUGAUGUGUGGCUCUAAUAGUGUCUGAGGAUCAUUAAAUCACAAAUUUCAUCAUAAAUAAAUUGAAUUUUGUCUUUCUUUUCUUUACCCUAUGCAGGAAAGGUCCACGUUGUAAGCAAAGGUGAACUCUUUCCUUUUCCUAGUAGCGGUCUGGUUAGGACUUCACCUUAUUACCAUGCUUCCUUGACUUCUGUUAUGUAAAUCACCUAUGAACUUCAUUGAUAAGGAACUUUGAUGUUGGAGAAAGAAAUGAACUUGAGAGAUGAUGAAGCCAGAGCAGUUAGUGGGAAAAUAUCACCCAAUAAAAAUUGCUGCAAUUCUACAUUUGCAUAUCCAUUUUUGCAAGUCUGUGUGAUAGCUAAAGGACCUUGAGUCAUUGUCUCC
rnacentral:lncRNA from 1 species